UUUCCUGAUGCCAGGUCAGUUGCAGGUUUUUCUCCUUCCUGCCAAUUUCAAGUCGGACAGAAUGACUUCACAUAAACACAGCCUGGCUGCCAAGACAGUUUCAAAAUGGCUGCUUCCGAAGUUGCGUCUUUCGAGACAAAUUUCAUCAGCAUAGCGGGCACUUCAGAGGCUGAAACUUCGGUGAGGGAAAAGCUGAAUGUUUAUGUGCUAUUGGCGAGUACAAAAAAAGUAAGCUUUUUGGAGUGACCUCCUUUAAGUUAAUUCUACAAGGAACUGAAGUAAUCGAGUGAAUCAAUGUAUCAUUUCAGCAGCGUUUCACUUGGCUUUUAAUAUUCAUCUUUUCUUCCUGAAGUUUCAUAUUUAGUCCCUCAAACAAUGAUUGCAUGCUAUGCUGUAUGUUCCUCAUUGCAUAAAUGUUUUUGAUGUCUUGUUUUGAGUAUUCUUGCAGAGUUUCUCUCUAAUGUGUAAAACACAGGCCAUGCAACUGUGAAUGUUACAGUGUGUUGAAUUUUGCAAGAAUUGAGCAUCGAGAAUGGAGUCGCACUUCAAGGAAAUUGAGACUCAACUCAAUACUUGAUUCUCAGAAGUAUUGAGUAUCAAGUGUUGACUUAGAUUUGCCUGGUACUGAAUCAUGAUACGUUUUUGACCUGAGAUCCCCUAAUCUGGAACACUGCAUGGCCAGUAAUGAAAACUGAAGUCUGCCAGAUGUAGUUCUGUUGUUCUGCUUCAAAACAAACAACUCUCAACUACGAGUUCAUUUGCUGUAUUAUGAAUAUUUUCCCUUUUUAGGAGGAGUGUUUGGUUUGUAUGGUGGAAGAAUGGAUCCAUUAGUUAGAGGCUGUGUAAUGGGUACAAAUGAAGUUCAUUACUGGGGAGACUUAAAUGAUCCUGUGCCGUGCUGAAUUUCAGAAGUGUUCAAUGUCUUAAUUCUCCUGCUUACAUCAUUGUCAUUGUCAAGUAGAUCACGUCAUCACCUGGAUGACACUGUCUUCAUGUACAAUACAAUCCAAGACAUUUUAAGAAAUAAAUGUUAUGGCAAUGUACAUCACUAAUAAAAAUUUGAUGAUUUGUUUGAUUUGAUAAAGUAUUUUGUGUAUUGUGCACAACUGUCUGUGGUGACCAAUUAAAGGUCAGAAUGUGCAGUUCCAGAAAAUAUCCAUACCCACUCCAUGAAAGGUCACUUGCAAUUGGUAGGGGGGUGGGGGAUUGCAAACAUCAAUAUUUUUAAAGGAAAGGAAGAAGCUAUAAAACUGGAAUUUCCACCAGGGUGGUAGUCUCCUUGGCAGCCGUUUUUGGGAUGUCACGCAUGCAGACAUCCCGAAAAAACAACUGCGGAGGAGACUAUCAGGGUGGGACUGGGGCCUAGGGGGAGGGUGCCAAGUCUUCACAGCGCACAUUUUGUCUUUCCAUGUUGGGGGUGGGAUCCAGGGAGGGGUGGGGUGAGUUGUUGUGGAGGUACUGUAAACAACAUAAUCAACAACUGUCUGUUUUAUUUCAGAUAUCACGUAUAUUUCCUGAUAAUUUUUCCUAAUCAUGGAUAUUGCUAAUCUAUGGUCUGUGAAGGUCGUGAGUGUGACAUUUUGCACGAAACAUGUCACGCUACAGUUAAACAAUUGAAGUUUGCUCGCCUUCCAAUGACAGCAUCGGUCUCCCUCCUUUCAAUGGGCUAUGAACAGGCUCGAAGGUUCUUAGGUGUUACGCCGUGGCCAGGGUAUAGGAGAAAGGCGCGAGCGAAAUGCGGCAAGCGAAAAGAGCUCAUAGCUACAAUUGUAGCAAUAAUCCUUAUCAAUCUUCGACCGACGGCUUCCGUCACAGACUCUACCUACCGCGGGUUACUAGCAAGUAAAUUUACAUCUGUAAUUAACGUAGGUUCAACCUGAGAGCAUUGCGCACAUGCAACGAAGGCUUUUUUCCUGAAAUGUAUGACGCGAGUUCACCUCAAUCCACUUGGUAUGAAUCAAGUUUGUUGAUAGUCUCCUUCGCAGCCGUUAUUAGGGUCGUCACGCAACGCUCCUCNCCCACUAACGGCCGUUAGUGGGGAGGAGCGUUGCGUGACGACCCUAAUAACGGCUGCGAAGGAGACUAGUUUGUUGAAAGAUUACGCCCCAUUACGCCAGACAAAUCUAUUGUUGAUUUGAAUUCCAGUGGUUUUGAUCUCGUGAUAAUACAAUUGUCUCGUUGUAUUCCAGUUUCCGCAUGGGUGCUGUCGAUCUCGUGAUCAAUCGAUUUCGAUCUCAUGAUCAAUCGUCGCAAAUACCCUCGGUACGGGGAGCGGCUGUCAGUGUACUAUUGUAGCAAUGCUAAAAGGGAUUCCUGAAGGUUCCUAACUGCUUACGAGCUGGAAAAGUUAUGAAGAAUCAUUCUUGCUACUGACAACCCGGGUAAUGGGAAGAGCAUAGUCAGGAAUUAUCAACUUCGCGUGACUUUGUACAGUUUGUCUAGACGACAUGUAAUCGGUCGUUCAUUUUGCAAUACACAUUGUAUUCGCUCGAUACAGCAACGAUAUUCUUUGUUUCAUGCAGACACAUCGCUUUUUGAGGAUCACAGCUGUAUCUUUUUGGCGUCUGUGAUCGAAAGGAAUCAUUUUCAACUGAGGGGAAGUUUUCCGUUCAGCUGAAAGAAACACAUCGCCUCUUGAGAAUCUCAGCUGUAUCUUUUUGUUGACUGCGAUCGAGGGGAAACAUUUUCAACUGAAGGAAAGUUUUCCGUUUCAGCUGAAAGAAACACAUCGCGUUUUGAGGAUCACAGCUGUAUCUUCUUGCUGACUGCGAUCGAGGGGAAACAUUUUCAACUGAAGGAAAGUUUUCCGUUCAGCAAAAAGGUAAGCAAGAGGAACGCUUGUAAAACGAAAUUCUGAAACGUUAGCACAUUUAUUGGCAUCGCUAACUAAAAUAAGGGAAAGGUUAUUAGUUACCGGAAUUAUUGUUGGUAAAUUAAUUUCAUUUUGACUCAACAGUCAUCUAUUAACAACAUCGACACGAGCUAGACGGGGACAAAAAUCUUAAAGCGGAGAGACACGGUAACAGCGGUAGAAACGGUAGAAAUUAUUGGAAUACUAUUUAAACAAAGCGGAAAUUCUACUAAACUGUUUGUCGAAGGAUCCAUGGACCUGUUGAUUUGGUUUGUAAAGGUUCCUUUAGGUUUGGGGAGAGGGAAAUCCAAAUCCGGAUCUUAGAAUCCUGAAAGAAAUUUUGCUUUUGCUCUCUAGAAUCCAUGAAUGGAUUAUGAAUCAAAAGAAUCCACACUGCAAGUGGAUCUAUGUUCACGACUUACGAAAACGUAUAAGCUUAAUGGUUCCCGAUAAGUCAUUGUUGUGAAGGUUCACGUUCACAUUGCUUCAGGAUACUAUUGUGUGUUAUGAUGUGGUAGUUUGCAUUUUCUUUUUAUCCUUUCUUGACACCGCGACACCGCAAAAAUAAUUCGGCAAGUAGCGCAAUAUCCCAAAAAAAUCGCCAAAUACCGCAAUACUUCAAUACCCAGUAGAAACUCGGUCUCCUACCUAAACCACUACUUUGUAUGUUAAGUUUAGAGCAAAUAUAGCAAUUAAGAAUUGGAGUUUUCUGUUACACGAGAGCUAAGUUUCAUUGGGAAUCUCCAAUCGGAAACUGCGAAAGGCUCUGAAAACGCUAUAGGACUUGAAAGAUAAUUUUUAAUACCGUCCAUAAUGCGAUAGAAAACGUAUCCCGCAGGUUCGGAGAAUACCGCAAUAAAUUUACCGCAUUUCAAGAUUAAAAUUACCGAAAUACUGCAAGAUAAAAUGUCCACCACCGCAACCUUUUAUGGUCAAAUGAAGCAUAUAUAGUCGGGUAAUAAAUCUGAUUAUCCUGUCUCAAGUGCAAAUGUUCUAAAAUAAGUUUGUUAACCGCGCGGCCAUGGGCCGAGCGCGGUUCAUGUUCUACCCUUGGUUUAUUAUUUUUUUAAA